UAUAUACUCCCUUCGUUCGGAAUUAUUUGUCGCAGAAAUGGAUAUAUCUAGUUGUAUUUUAGUUUUAGAUAUAUCCAUUUCUGAGACAAGUAAUUUCGAACGGAGCGAGUACAUG
rfam:Triticum aestivum genome assembly, contig: Triticum_aestivum_CS42_TGACv1_scaffold_160008_2DL